rnacentral:rRNA from 1 species
CACGUAGGGGACGAGCGUUGUCCGGAUUCAUUGGGCGUAAAGAGCGCGUAGGCGGCCUUCUAAGUCGAACGUGAAAUCCCCGGGCUCAACCCGGGAACUGCGUCCGAGACUGGAAGGCUUGAAUCCGGGAGAGGGAUGUGGAAUUCCAGGUGUAGCGGUGAAAUGCGUGGAUAUCUGGAGGAACAUCGGUGGCGAAGGCGGCAUCCUGGACCGGUAUUGACGCUGAGGCGCGAAAGCCAGGGGAGCAAACGGG